rnacentral:tRNA from 1 species
GGCCUCGUAGCUCAGUUGGCUAGAGCGUUGGUUGUACCACAGCCUUCUCAUUUAUGGCUUGGUUCGAAUCCCACCGAGGCCA